rnacentral:lncRNA from 1 species
GGGGUUUUUUCUCUCAUUUUGUCAUGCCGAUGUGAUUUUUUUUUUUUUUAAUUCAGUGGAUUUUGUUGGUUUUGCUUGUCAUAUAAGUUUUUUAAAUAUUGUUUCAGUUGGUUUUUUUUCUCUUAUUUUGUCAUGCCGAUGUAUUUCUUAUUUGAAUACUGCAAAAUUUUAGUCACAACCAAAAACGGCAGUUAUCCAAUCUAAUUU